rnacentral:rRNA from 1 species
AGGAUUCCCCUAGUACGGCGAGUGAAGCGGGAUGAGCUCAAGCUUAAAAUCUCUGUGCAAGUUUUGCAUGGCGAAUUGUAGUCUAUGGAGGCGAUGUCAGUGCGACUGCGUGGGUUAAGUUCCUUGGAAGAGGACAGCAUCGAGGGUGAUACUCCCGUAUGUACCUGUGUAGUUGCGCGUACGACACGUUUUCUUUGAGUCGCGUUGUUUGGGAAUGCAGCGCAAAGUAGGUGGUAAAUUCCAUCUAAAGCUAAAUAUUGGUGCGAGACCGAUAGCGAACAAGUACCGUGAGGGAAAGAUGAAAAGAACUUUGAAAAGAGAGUUAAAGAGUACCUGAAACUGCUGAAAGGGAAUCGAAUCGUUUCCAGUGUCUAUAAUCCGUGACAUAUUUCAUUGGCGCGUGGGUGCGUGCAGUAUUUUGGAAGUGGUUUUCCUCUCCUGGUGCUGUUGUGCGUCUGCUUGCUGGUGCCCUGUGUUGCGGUGGGACGUCAGAGUCAGUUCGUAUGCUGCGGGAAAUGGCUGUUAGGAAGGUAGGCUGCUUCGGUGGCUGUUAUAUCCUGGCGUGCUAGUCGUCGUGGUUGGGACUGAGGUGCCUACAACGUGCUUUUGAGUCUUCGGGACUCUCGUUUGGUCAUUUGCUUUGACAGCUUGCUGUGUUGGUGAAUGCAUCGGGCGAUUGAGAUCUGUCGUAACUUAUUGCCGUUCGGGACUUUGACGAAAUGGAGCGAUCCGUCCCGUCUUGAAACACGGACCAAGGAGUCUAACAUGUGUGCAAGUGUUAGGGUGUGGAAACCCCAGCGCGAAAUGAAAGUAAAGGGCAGCCUAGCUGCCUGAGGUAGGAAACCUUUGUUUACAGGGGUGGCACUAUCGACCGAUCAUGAGCCUACGUGGCGAAAGAUUUGAGUUUGAGCACAUAUGUUGGUACCCGAAAGAUGGUGAACUAUGCCUGAGUAGGGUGAAGCCAGGGGAAACUCUGGUGGAGGCUCGUAGCGAUUCUGACGUGCAAAUCGAUCGUCAAACUUGGGUAUAGGGGCGAAAGACUAAUCGAACCAUCUAGUAGCUGGUUCCCUCCGAAAUUUCCCUCAGGAUAGCAGCAACUUAUUUACGAUAGUUUUAUGAGGUAAAGCGAAUGAUUAGAGGAUUCUGGGAAGAAACUUUCUGGACCUAUUCUCAAACUUUAAAUCUGUAAGACCUGCAGGUUCUUAAUGAACUG